rnacentral:rRNA from 1 species
UACAGAGGUCUCAAGCGUUGUUCGGAUUCAUUGGGCGUAAAGGGUGUGUAGGUGGCGCCGUAAGUCGGGUGUGAAAUUUCGGAGCUUAACUCCGAAACUGCAUUCGAUACUGCGGUGCUUGAGGACUGGAGAGGAGACUGGAAUUCAUGGUGUAGCGGUGGAAUGCGCAGAUAUCAGGAGGAACACCGGUGGCGAAGGCGGGUCUCUGGGCAGUAACUGACGCUGAGGAGCGAAAGCGUGGGGAGCAAACAGG